GCUCCUGCAAUGCAAUGGUGGUCACUGGUCAGGACAAAACAUAUAAAUAGCUGUAACUGCAGAAACCAUAAGGAGCUGAAAUAAGCUGACCUGAAGAGGAAGUAUAGUGUCAGCAGCAAAGAGCGUCACCUUUGCCAGCUUAACAUCAUUAUGGGAGCUCAAGACACACUGGACAAAAAGGUGGAUCUGAAUCAUUCUCCGCAUGAAGAGACGGCAGAUGCAUGUCAGAGCCAGCCCUUUUCUGCAGAAAUAAAGGUAGCUGGUAGUCAGGAAAUUGUGCAAAGCAGCAUUUAUUGAUAUCUCAACAUGAAUGAAAACAUAAGUAUUUACAGUA